UGAGUAACACGUAUGCAAUCCACCUGUAACAGGGGGAUAACCCGGAGAAAUCCGGACUAAUACCCCAUAAUAUGGGCGCUCCGCAUGGAGAGCCCAUUAAAGAGAGCAAUUUUGGUUACAGACGAGCAUGCGCUCCAUUAGCCAGUUGGCGGGUAACGGCCCACCAAAGCGAUGAUGGAUAGGGGUUCUGAGAGGAAGGUCCCCCACAUUGGAACUGAGACACGGUCCAA
rnacentral:rRNA from 1 species